CGCCGGACAGGGACACGGCUGCUAAUAAGCCAAUUGCUCGCCGGAAGUGACGCACUGCAGGGACGACGUGCUUCCGGUCCCGGGUGUCGUCGUCUCCGCCGCAGGGGGAAGGGUUUUUUCUGGCCUGCUAACUCCGCUGCUCUGGAGGAUCCUUUCCUGAUUGAUACACCUCUGAUGAAGCUAUGACCAGGUGGGCACGAGUCACUACCACACAGAACAAACGACCCUUUCCUGCAACAUCAUGGGAGGACUUGAAGAAGGGGUCCUCUGAGGGACAAAGCCAAAAUCUUCCAAAGAGUAAACAACUUGAAGCCAAUAGGCUGUCCCUUAAAAAUGAUGCCCCCCAAGCAAAACACAAAAAGAAUAAAAAGAAAAAGGAGUAUUUAAAUGAAGAUGUGAAUGGAUUCAUGGAAUAUUUAAGACAAAACUCACAGAUGCUUCACAAUGGUGAGGUGAUAGCAACAGACAGUCAGAAAGUAAGGGAAGAAAUUGAAGUUGCUUUAAAGAAAGACAGUCGCCGGGAAGGAAGACGAUUAAAAAGACAAGCAGCAAAGAAAAAUGCAAUGGUAUGUUUCCAUUGUAGACAACCUGGCCAUGGGAUUGCAGAUUGCCCUUCUGCCCUUGAGAAUCAAGAAAUGGGCACUGGAAUAUGUUACAGGUGUGGAUCCACAGAGCACGAAAUAACCAAGUGCAAGGCUAAAGUAGACCCAGCUCUUGGUGAAUUUCCUUUUGCAAAAUGUUUUGUUUGUGGGGAAAUGGGGCAUCUGUCCAGAUCUUGUCCUGAUAAUCCCAAAGGACUCUAUGCUGAUGGUGGUGGCUGCAGACUUUGUGGCUCUGUGGAACAUAUGAAGAAAGAUUGUCCCGAAAGUCAGAACUCAGAUCGAAUGGUCACAGUUGGUCGCUGGGCAAAGGGAAUGAGUGCAGACUAUGAAGAAAUUUUGGAUGUGCCUAAACCACAGAAACCGAAAACAAAGAUACCUAAACAACAGAGGAAAACAUAACCCAAUUUGGCUCAGCAUACCAGAGCUUAAGGAAGAGAAAAUUAAUGUGCACGUUUCAUCGAACUUACGGUACACGAACUGCUGCCAGUAGCAUGGAUAAGAAAUCCAGCACAUUCGAUUUCACUUCUGACAUACUGUGGAGAAGGUGGGACUGACGGCAGAAUAACCGACCUCACUGCCACCACGGUGCUUUGAAGAUAGUGUUGAAAUUUGCCAUCUUAUAAUCAUUCCCAUGGCAACAAGCAAUGAGAAGACAGACAAACAGGGUUGAGACUUCACUGCAGGAAUCAAGCAGAUGGAAAAAUCAGGCUGGGAGGGAGAAAACCUUUAUUUCAACACAAAUAUCUUUUAAGAAGAGAAUGAAGAAAUGAGAAACUGACUAAAAGCAGCUUAGAAAGACAUGAGUUUGUCUUUUUACUAAGCUGCUCAGUGAGUACUCAGAUGCCAGCAAUGAUGCAAGAAACAGAUUUCAUGUUAAUAAAAGAAAACAAGGUCUUGAGGCAUCUUUUAUAAAGGGUAAAUGGAAGCAAGUAACUUUGUUAAGUUAAACCUGUGUGCAUCACUGAACCAAGCAUAGAUGGAAACCUAACUGGAUCCAAAGAAAAUAAGGAAGACCCUGAAAGGAUUCAGAAGUGAGCACCAAGACAUAGUAAAAGCAAACAACCAAGGCUAAAACGUGCGGAGGAAGUCAAAGUCAGAGUUGAAAACAAAGAAGUAGUAUCUGAAUUUGCUUCUAUUUCAGGCAUUAUAAAUGAGAAAAGCACUGUUGAUGUGACGGCCCCGGCUCUCAGACCACUCCUGGCAGUCAAAGGCCUCCACGCGCACUCCAACUUCAACGCUGCAGAAGGGCAAGAAGGGCAGUGGGCAGAGAGCCUGAGCAUGCUAGGCCUCCCCCGCCCACCACCCCACCAGCUCCUCCAGGCAAGGAAGAGAAGGAGGACCCUGUGUUGUUUUUUUGUUGUCUGCUAAUCUACGCAGCAGUUAACAUCCAUUUCAUCAAGUCGAUCGAUCUUAUGUACAAACUCCUGGGAGCAUGUCUGCUUUACUUUCCCACUUUCAAGUAGUAAAAAAAGGCCAGUGGAACCUUAUAUACAUGCAUGAGUAAAUUUUGGUAAUGGGGGGGUAGAGUGUUAAAUUAUGCCAAAGUCAAGUUUUCUCUCCUAAAACGGUAGUUCUAUAAUUUAAAAGCAUCAAACACUGAAGUUGGAUAGGAAAUACAGAUGUUCUUUUUUACAUUAGGAAGAAAAAAAUACCAAGUUAAAUCUUUUCUUUGUGUGUCAAGAAUAAUAAAAAUAACUGAAAGUGU